rnacentral:misc_RNA from 1 species
GAUGAAGAACGUAGUGAAAUGCGAUAAGUAAUGUGAAUUGCAGAAUUCAGUGAAUCAUCGAAUCUUUGAACGCACAUUGCGCCCGCCAGUAUUCUGGCGGGCAAGCCUGUUCGAGCGUCAUUACAACCCUCAGGCCCCCGGGCCUGGCGUUGGGGAUCGGCGGAAGCCCCCUGCGGGCACAACGCCGUCCCCCAAAUACAGUGGCGGUCCCGCCGCAGCUUCCAUUGCGUAGUAGCUAACACCUCGCAACUGGAGAGCGGCGCGGCCACGCCGUAAAACACCCAACUUCUGAAUGUUGACCUCGAAUCAGGUAGGAAUACCCGCUGAACUUAAGCAUAUCAAUAAGCGGAGGA